GACGAACGCUGGCGGCGUGCCUAACACAUGCAAGUCGAACGGAACUGCUUCGAAGGAUUUCUUCGGAAUGACAUUGAUUCAGUUUAGUGGCGGACGGGUGAGUAACGCGUGAGUAACCUGCCUUCAAGAGGGGGAUAACAUUCUGAAAAGAAUGCUAAUACCGCAUGACAUAUGAUUGUCGCAUGGCAGACAUAUCAAAGAUUUAUCGCUUGAAGAUGGACUCGCGUCCGAUUAGUUAGUUGGUGAGGUAACGGCCCACCAAGACCGCGAUCGGUAGCCGGACUGAGAGGUUGAACGGCCACAUUGGGACUGAGAUACGGCCCAGACUCCUACGGGAGGCAGCAGUGGGGAAUAUUGGGCAAUGGGCGCAAGCCUGACCCAGCAACGCCGCGUGAAGGAAGAAGGCUUUCGGGUUGUAAACUUCUUUGUCAGGGACGAGUAGAAGACGGUACCUAACAAGGAAGCGCCGGCUAACUACGUGCCAGCAGCCGCGGU
rnacentral:rRNA from 1 species